UACAGCCAUAAUACCCUAAACAUGCCCAAUCUUGUCUGAUCUUGGAAGUUAAGCAUAGUUGGGCCUGGUUACUAGUUUGAUGGGAGAUUGCUUGGGAAUAUCAGGUGUUGCUGGCA
ensembl:rRNA 5S_rRNA 5S ribosomal RNA